AUGUAUUUUGCUGCUGUAGCACAACCCUCUUUUGUUGGAUAUUAUUCGAAGAAGGAUUGGCCGGUGCUCCCGGCUGGCAUCAAGUUCGAUCCCACGGAUCAAGAGCUGAUCGAGCACCUUGAGGCCAAAGUGAGUGCUGACAGCGCGAUAUUUCAGUCUCUCAAUGAUUUGUUCAUACCAACCAUCGACAGCGAGAACGGCAUAUGCUACACCCAACCUAAGAAACUUCCAGCGCAAUUCCAGGCGUUCAAAAGGAGCACGUGGACGCGUCGCAAGAUACAAUCGGAGUGUGGCAUGCACGCGAUGUGGCAUAAGACCGGCAAUAUCUUACCGGUGAUGGUCAACGGCCGGCAGACGGGCAGCAAAAAAGGUUCUGGUGCUGCAGACCAACAAGAACUUCGACCAGCAGAGGACCAACUGGGUGAUGCACCAGUACCACCUCGGGGGCCUGGAGCAAGAGAAGGAGCGGGAGCUGGUCGAGCAAGUUUCAACUGGGCUGUAGACUGCCCAGGGUUGGUUUUGUUUUUACCAGGCCCAGCCCAUGAUGACAACGGGGCACAAAGAUCCAGCAGUAUCUACUGGCCUCUAGCCCACCAGCAUUAG
rnacentral:rRNA from 1 species